rnacentral:rRNA from 1 species
AUUGAACGCUGGCGGCAUGCUUUACACAUGCAAGUCGAACGGCAGCACAGGGAGCUUGCUCCCGGGUGGCGAGUGGCGCACGGGUGAGUAAUACAUCGGAACGUGUCCUGUUGUGGGGGAUAACUGCUCGAAAGGGUGGCUAAUACCGCAUGAGACCUGAGGGUGAAAGCGGGGGAUCGCAAGACCUCGCGCAAUUGGAGCGGCCGAUGCCCGAUUAGCUAGUUGGUGAGGUAAAGGCUCACCAAGGCGACGAUCGGUAGCUGGUCUGAGAGGACGACCAGCCACACUGGGACUGAGACACGGCCCAGACUCCUACGGGAGGCAGCAGUGGGGAAUUUUGGACAAUGGGGGGCAACCCUGAUCCAGCCAUGCCGCGUGCAGGAUGAAGGCCUCGGGUUGUAACUGCUUUGUCAGGGACGAAAGGAUACGUGAUAAUACCAUGGUCUGCUGACGGUACCUGAAGAAUAAGCACCGGCUAAC